GUUCAACAAAACCGAAAGAAACAUGAUUGUCAGAAUUAUGUGCAAGUUUGUCACUUUUCUAAAAUAUCUCAAGAAAGUUUCCAGAUAUGUUUUGAGUCCUUUAAUAGGUGUUGAUAAAACUCGGUUUACAAUACUUAUUAUGUACCAACUUUAAAGGCGAAUCAUUGAAGAGGUAUCACGAGGUUCGUGUAAAACAUUCCGCGUGAGUUCCUAUAAUUUCCAGCAUUUCUUCGUUCCCUUCAUAUGGUACAACACAAAAUAGCUUCUUGUACUUGUAAAAUGUGGACGGUGAUCAGGUCAGUACUGAACGCGUUCUCUGCUAUUUUCAGUACGUUGGGUGACAGUUGACAAAGGCGUAACACAAUGGUGUAAGAGAAGUUGCCUCUAUAGCACGGCGAAAGUAAUUUGUACGUCCUUUUCCGAUUAAAGUUCAAAUCCAAAGUGUGAUUCUUGUGUUAGUCUGUUACAGAUGCAAAGUAACUCCGGGUCUUUUAUCCACUUUCUUACGCUCAAACAAGAUGAUCGUACGAACAUGAAACAUUUUUCGUUAGUAACUGUGGAACAAAUUUACAUUAUCAUCAUUAAGUUAUGGAGAAGCAAGCCAAGCUGAAUAAAGCCAGAAUUGCUGCUAAAAUCAAAAUAAAUGUCCUGAACAUGACGUUUCGACAAACUAUGAGGAUUAGGCAACUAAGGUGGUAACAGUAUAAUUAAGUUUAGCAAAACCAUGUUGACAAAGAUUCAACAUAAACGUAAAAUAAUAAGAAACAUGGCCAUGUAUUAUUAAUUCGGAUACUUUAGAGACGUUCUUAAAAAUCUUAUGUUUUCACAAGAAUUAACAGAAGCACUGCUGCCUUGUAUAAAAAUUGUAACAACAGUUGCUUGCUUCCAUAAUGUAAGAAAUUGUUGCUGGGAUAAGCUAAUGUUAAAAAUAAAUGUGAGAACCUAAUAUACAAAUUUCAGAACAACCUUUUGGAACAAAAGCAGAAAUACCAACCUCCGGCUCGGAAGUAGGUGCUAUUAAAUAUUAUGAGGUCUGUAAUAAAGAGGGAAAAUUCUCAUGCCGCUAUAUUAUAAUAUAUGGAAUUAUGAUCAUCCUUUCAUAACAGUUGUAAUUAAGCCUAAUUUUUUUGCAUUCGGUACUUUUCGGAAAAUGUCUUUUUGUUACAAAAACGUUCAUUAAAAUAUGACAAGAUGAUUUAAGGAAUCAGCGGAUCGGGCCGAAAGGACCCAUAGGUAUCAGAAAAUAUUAGCUUUGUAUAAACUUCUAACCCAGCCUGUACUGACCCCAUCGACGAUUAUCGAUAAACGACUUUUCAGUUGCAAGAACUGCUCUCUGGUGGUAGAAAUAGUAAAUACGGGCAAUACCGCCGUAAAGUGUUCAUGCUGAUAUGGCGGUCGAGUAGUGUUUGUGGUAAUUGAAUAUAAUUUAUUUACAUUUCAUACAUCCUUCAUGAGCUUGAGCCAGGGUGCCUCUUGUUAUAAGCCUGUAUACGUUGACAACUUUCUUCUGACCGAUGCGGUGAGCACGAUCCAUUGCCUGCACAUCCUUCAUUGGAUUCCAGUCAUGCUCCACAAAUACUACCUGCCAUCACAUGAUAAGAAUUCUCACCAUCACCACUGGUCCUCAUCUUGAGCUAGUUUGAUCCAGUUCAAACGCUAUCUAUUCAACUCAGAUUCACCUAACACCUUGUCGUUACAUACAAGCGAUAAAGGAUGAAUGAUCCGAACUCUUCGGAUCACGGCUGGCCAGGAUUGGCUUGCUGUAGCGUGCCGUAAACUGCUUCUCUGUACCAAGGAAACCAGGCAUCAGGAAGUCAAACAGUGACCACAGCUCCAGUACAUUAUUCUGUAUUGGUGUUCCCGACAAAAUGAGGCGGUGAUUUGCAACCAGCUGUUUGAUUGCUUUUGAGGACUGCAACAGAAAUGUAAAUCACAAACUGGAUACAACUGAGGGCAACUAAGUUUACUUUCAUCUUCAGUCUGUUCCAAUAUCUGCUACACAAAAUCAGUUCCACAUAACACAAGUAAGACAUGGGAAAUUCAGUGAGAUUUCAGGUUAUGUCAAUGAGUAUAAAGAUGGCUGUCUUCUGGGUUAUUUCACCAUGCAGUUUGGUACAUGACUGACGAUUCAGAGGCAUUUACUGCCUCCAUCAUCAGGACAAUCACUCUGUAAUGGUAUCCACCUAAGUUUCUACAAGUUGUCACAAACCAGAAGAACAAUGUAAUAUGCAUUUCUUUGUCCUAAAUAUUUUACAUAUUUAUAAAACGUCCAAAAUAUGACUUGAAUAUGUUACUGAUGUAAAGUAAAGGUGAUACCUUGGUUUUUCCAUUCUUGAUAACAUGGCCCUCAUCCAGGAUGCAAUAGUUCCACUUGAUAGAACUGAAGAAAUCAAUGUCCUUCCUGACAAUGUCAUAUGAAGCCACCACCAAAUUGUGGAAUUUUACCUUGCUGCGUAGCCUGCAGUAAUUCAGAUAAAUUAAUGAACCUCAACACAGAACAGAAGAGUUAUUAGAGUCAUGAUAAUACCAUAAGCUUAUAUUUCUUUGUCAGUAUGUAAAUUAAAUGUGAAAUGUA